GGCUGUUAAUCUAGAGGCUGGAGUACAAAGAAGUGGCACAAUGAUGUGGGCUGAUGACAUUUAUAAUUAUCAAGGAAUCACCCCUACAUUCGCUCAGAAUUUUAAUGAAACUGUCCCUUGGGAAGGAAGAACUGAUACCUUGAUAUCACGGUUUGUACAUCCUAUAUAUACGACAAAUUUUAGAACAUUAUAUAACGAAGAACCAGAUCGUCGUGGCCAUGUGAUGUGAAUAAAAGGACUUGAAUUUGAUGAUAUUUUUAUAAUGUUAGAUAACAUAACUAAGUAUCUUCACAGUAAGAUAGGAUGACAUGGUUUACAUGAUCUUAAUGUUGUUCACUCGAGUGAUGAUAUUAUAAGGAAAAGUGUAAUAUCACAGGAUAUUUAUGUUUAGUAACCAGUAAUUCAGAGAUUGGUAUUCAUGGUUACUAUAACGAGGCUGUAGAAACGCACCCUUUCUUCUUUGCAAAUGGUCCUGUAUUUAUGUCUAAACCGAAACUGGAACCUCUGAAUAAUUUAGAUUUAUUCUUGUUAUUUUCUAAAAUACUUAUCUACAGUAUACCAUAAGGAAUGAUACCGUAUCGCACCUAAUCAAGUGCCUUAAGAAACAUCAACAGGAUAUCACAGUAAUCCCUUAUCGAC